CUCACUUGAGGUGAUUAUAUCAGAAUUACGUCUGGCAAGAGGUAUAAAUAGACCGCGGAUUUCCUAACAGAUGAUAUCAGUUUAGAAUGAAGUGGAUUAAGUAUAUAUUUCUUUUCGCACUUCUAUGUGCUGUUGCAUUGGCUGACCUAGACGCACCUCAGAACGACGAUGCCGACGAUGUAACUGCAACAGGCCGAUCUCCUCCACCUCGUGCUCCAUCUCCUCUAGGUCCUCGAAAUCCUCCCCCACCUAGACCUAACGGACCACCUGCACCUAACGGAUGGGGCCGCUGAUAUACCACGAAUUCAGACAAUAAAUGAAUUUUAUAAAAUAUUAUUCAAAUAGUUUUUUUGUUAUUCAUGAAAGUCGUCAGUCUCGCACUGAAGCAGGGAUAACAGCGGGAGACUCUGAAGGCAAACAAAGCUAACCAACAGGAUACUAAUCUAACAAAUGUAUGAACUGUUUGGUCCUUUUUUUUAUAUAUAAAUUAAAACUAAUAUUUUGUUUAUUAUAACAUUCGUCUAUUGCAUUUUCUAAUUGAAACUAAUACUAUUAGUAUCGGCUAUUAUAUUGGGCAUGGUCGAUUUAAAUUAAAGAAUGUAUUCUAAACAUUCUAAAUAAAAAAGUAGGCUGUUCACUUGCAGUCAGAGAGCAAAAACCAUUUAAAUUGAAAUAGAGUGAAUUGAAAUAAAUGAGCUGCAAAUAUAUAUUAGACCUUUUUACUCACAAUGAGCGGCUUUAUUAAAUGUGCUGCUUACACAGCACUGGCACAUGAAGGAUGGGCUUCAUUUUUAAAGAUUCUGAAUAUGGUAAACUUUGUUAAAUCUAUGCAGCUGGAGGUGCAGGCUCUUGUGGUUCUUUUUGGGUAUAUGAUCAAAUUGAUAUGCUUCCUUAUUCUGGCCUAUGGCGUUAUUACUCAUAAUAUAUUGUUUGUAAGAAUCUGGCUACUGAUGUCCUACACUCUCAUUGAUUUGACCUCAAUUUGUAAAUGUUUUGCAAAAUUAUUUGAAUAUUUCUUUACCAACAAGUACCCCGAUAAGUCAGAGUUCAUACUCGAGAUUAGAGACACGUAUUGUCCACUAAUGGGUGAGGUGAUGGCAAGGAUUGGCAUAAUUUUGACAAUUUACAGAUACUAUCAAUCCCUGCAACCACCAGUAAAAAUUCGCGGUCCUAUUACAUUUACUGAACCCCUGAGAAUAGCCAAAUAAUAAUUUCCAAUGAUUUAUAUUUGCAAACUAGAUAAAUGGUUUGUUUAAAAUAAAAAAUAUGAAAAGCGCAAUAAUGGAUGAAUGUAAUUCGAUGCUCCAUCACCUGAACUUGAUAGGUUAAUAUAAAUAUUGUAGACUGCGUAGACAAAACAAAACUCAAUUGCUACAGGAAUAAAUAAAAAAUUAACUUGCGAAUAUAUGUAGAUUUUGAGUGCCAUGACUUGCCCAUUGUUAGUAUUGAUAUUAGAAUGUUGGUCAAGGCAUCAAUGGCAUCGCCAGUGAGCAACUCCCAUAGCCACCAGAGCAUAAAUACUAUAUCCAAUAUCAGUCCCCCUAGACACCAGAUCAGCCAGAAGAUCAACAGCUGAGGUUUCUUCUGCAAAAGACAGUUCUCAAUUAAUGCAGAUGAAUGAUAUCGAAAGUCGACUUACCAAGAAAAUGCCACAAAUUAAAAGCACUGAAGCCAAUAUCCAUAUAUUCAAGAGAAACACAUAGAUCCACAACAUUCGACGGCCAACUUCUUUGCCUUGGAAUGCUGGAAUGAAUUGCUUAUUGCUGACUCUGUCAAUUGAAGUUGCCAAAUUCUUACUCAUCUUCUUUGCCUGUUUGCUGCCAUUCUUUUUAACAGUAACCCUGCUACGCCACAGCAUGCAAAUGAUCAUCAGCUCAAAGAAGACAGCUCCAAUAAUAUCCAUAGUGCCAAUAGCCAGACCAAAGCCAUUCAAAGCGCUAACCAUUGUGCUAAAAAAUACAUAUGUAUAUAUUCUAAUAUUUUGUACGUUGUCUAUAUCUAUUUAGAUUUUUUGACAACGAAAACUUAAAGUUAAAACUGUUGAAAGAGAUUUUAUAGCUCGCAGGGGAAUAAUACUGUCUGCCUGUGUGGAAAAAUGAGAGAGCGCGAAAAAAGUAAAUUAUAUUUGACAUCGGGGAAGUCACUCGAUGUGAGUGGUCUGUGGCUGUGUGAGUGUGUGUGCGUGUGUGUGUGCGUGUGUGUGUGUGUGCUUAGUCGCCGCACGUAUUUCAUCAGUGCGGCAUUAUAAGUAUAUGCAUACAUAUACAUACACAAACAUACACAUAAGCAUAUAAGUAUAUGCAAAUAUGCACACACAUUUUUUGCAUAAAUAGACAAGAGACACGCUGCCUGCCAAGUCAACGUCGAGCUCCCGAGCUUCGAACCCCGAGCCCCCAUCCCCGAACCCCAAGCCCCAUGACUGGAAGCUCAAGGCUCAGGCUCGAAACUCGCGAGCUGCCAGUUUUCAGUUGCGAGUUGCUGUUUCCGUUUCCGUUUUAUUUCAUAUACUUUAUCUUACACAUUUCUUUCGCAACUUUUCGUUGCUGUGCAAAUUAUUUUAAAAGGAUUUUGUUUUAACAUAUAUAUGUGCAUAUUAAAUACUAUUAAAUUAAAGCGUAUUUGACUGGCUAGACAACCAAAAGACAAUAAAAGCUGAUAAUGCACGCUAAGAUCCCUGGCCACAGUGCUUCAUCGAACACGUGGGAAUACUCCCACUUACUAGGGAUCUUAAUUGCUUUGGCUGACAAUUUGGUAUAUUUUGGAUGUAGUACUAUAUCAAUAUACAUAAAAUAGCAUUAGGUGUAUUUUAAGUAUUUGUUCAAUAUAUUAUAUAAUAUAAGCUACUCUUUCGAUAUAUUAAAUAUCUUGUAUUCUUUAAGUUCUAGUUGUUCAUAUAGUAGUUCUCGGAUAUUAAUGAUAGUGAACAAUAUACAAUGCAAUUUUCAUUUGAUUUGCAACGUGUAAAGCGUUUCCAAUUUCCAAUUAUUCUCACUUGAGGUGAUUAUAUCAGAACUACGUCUGGCAAGAGGUAUAAAUAGAUCUCGGAUCUCCUAACAGAUGACAUCAGUUUAGAAUGAAGUGGAUUAAGUAUAUAUUCCUUUUGGCACUUCUAUGUGCUGUUGCAUUGGCUGACCUAGACGCUCCUGAGAGCGACGAUGCCAUAUCUGAGGGCAACGAUGCCGACGAUGUAACUGCACGUGGACCUUUUUCUCCACCUUCUCCACCUCCUCCUCCUCGAACUCCUAGCCCAGCUAGACCUCCUAGCCCAGCAGGUCCACCCAUGCCUAACGGAUGGGGCCGCUGAUAUACCGCGAGUUAAAGCAAUAAAUUAAUUUCAUAAAAUAUUGUUCAAAUCACUUCUUCCACGCCCACUAAUUUCAUUCUAAUAUCUCGGUGCGCCGUCUAGUUAAGCACACACACACAAUUUGGCAGCCCUACACAACAAUUUUUGACAAGCCAAUCAAAGAUCACUUGCAAUGCCUUCAAAUUGUGCAGAACUGUGGGAUACAAUUUUUAAAUUAAAGCGCCAAAUCAGUAGGUAAAAUACCAGGCGAACAUAAAUCAACAGCAAGCAGAAAUACAUAAAAUAUUGAAAGAUCCAGUUGAAAGAUCUUUUCAAUAACUUGCCAACAUACGGAACAACAAACACUUGAAAAUUGCAAAUUUUACACAUCUUUAGGAAUAACAAGAGAACCAAAAAGAUUUUUCCGUUUCAACAACACAUAUAAAAUAUAUACAACUUAACCUUUAACAAUUCCUUAACAUUUUAGUACUCUUCGCAGUUUCUUUUGAAGGUCGAGGAAGAUGAUUUGGCACCACAAGUGUAAGGACUCCCCAAAUGUCUGCUCUGCAGUUCCACCUGUGGCA